rnacentral:rRNA from 1 species
CCCCAGACUCCUACGGGAGGCAGCAGUGGGGAAUAUUGCACAAUGGGGGAAACCCUGAUGCAGCGACGCCGCGUGAGCGAUGAAGUAUUUCGGUAUGUAAAGCUCUAUCAGCAGGGAAGAAAAUGACGGUACCUGACUAAGAAGCCCCGGCUAACUACGUGCCAGCAGCCGCGGUAAUACGUAGGGGGCAAGCGUUAUCCGGAUUUACUGGGUGUAAAGGGAGCGUAGACGGCAAUGCAAGCCAGAUGUGAAAGCCCGGGGCUCAACCCCGGGACUGCAUUUGGAACUGUGUAGCUGGAGUGUCGGAGAGGCAGGCGGAAUUCCUAGUGUAGCGGUGAAAUGCGUAGAUAUUAGGAGGAACACCAGUGGCGAAGGCGGCCUGCUGGACGAUGACUGACGUUGAGGCUCGAAAGCGUGGGGAGCAAACAGGAUUAGAUACCCGAGUAU